GUUACAGAGGUAUAUUUAGUUUCUUUGUUAAGACUAUUCUAUAGGAACAGUUACAGAGGCAACAGAUGGUGUUGAUAAGAGUUUACUGUUUCAACUGACUCAUCCAGGACUACCUCCAGUUCUGUUUCAUGCUGAUACGCCCAGCUCUGCAGAAAGAUGGAUCAGGGCCAUGAAAGAAGCAACUCACCUGGAGUGACGAGUAAAAUUAUCAAAAUUUGUGGUUACAGUAGAAAGUUUGUAUCAAAAAUUUGUCACCUGUACAUCCAACGAUACUGCCAAGAGGCUUUAGUUCAAAGAUUAUAUUUGUGUGAAGAACCAAACAACUUAAAAUAUAAAUUAAUAAUAUGUCUGUAUAGAGUAAAAAAAGCACCACUGUAUAAAGUAAUAUAUUAAUAUUUUUCUGACACAGUUUCUAAAAUAAACUGAAGAUAAAUAACAAAUCUGCCUGUUAUGAAUUGAGCUGUUGGAAGAAAAUUCUUUAAAACUCUUAAACGAAAGCUUAACUACUACUUAGCAGAGACGAUAGCAGCCAUGGGUUUCUGUAGUUGAUUAACUGAAUUUUUUUUUAUAUGUCGUUAAGUUAUAUAACUACACAACACAAUGAUUAGGGCUGAAUAUAUUUACUUGAACAAAAAUCUUACCAUGAUACUGACUAUUGUCUAUAUAUUAAAAUAAAGUUUAUAAAUACCCUGAUACUGACUAUUGUCUAUAUAUUAAAAUAAAGUUUAUAAAUACCCUGAUACUGACCAUUGGUUACCUAUUAAAAAAUAAAGUUUAUAAAUACCCUGAUACUGACUAUUGGCUAUAUAUUAAAAUAAAGUUUAUAAAUACCCUGAUACUGACAAUUGAUGUUUGUUUACAAACAUCAAGUUUUCACUGUUAUAAUAAUAAUUUAUUGAAUAAUAUUAGGCAGGUGUUUGUUUACAAGCAUCAAGUUUCCACUGUUAUAAUAAUAAUUUAUUGAAUAAUAUUAGGCAGGUGUUUGUUUACAAGCAUCAAGUUUCCACUGUUAUAAUAAUAAUUUAUUGAAUAAUAUUAGGCCAGGUGUUUAUUUACAAGCAUCAAGUUUCCACUGUUAUAAUAAUAAUUUAUUGAAUAAUAUUAGGCAAGUGUUUGUUUACAAGCAUCAAGUUUCCACUGUUAUAAUAAUAAUUUAUUGAAUAAUAUUAGGCAGGUGUUUGUUUACAAACAUCAAGUUUCCACUGUUAUAAUAAUUAUGUGACUUAGUUAACUGAAUAUUUUAUUUAUGUGUAGUCCAACAGUUUAGUACAUGAACAGCCUAUUAUCUUAAUGUACAAUACUUCUGAUUCAAGUAAACUUUAAACACUGUGAUAUUAUUUUUAGAGUAUUUAUGAUAGUAUGUUAAAAAAUGCACUUUUUAAAAUAAAUCUUUUCAAAUUGUAUUUGGUUUCAUGAAAGUUAGAUUUGUGUAUGUUGCUUAGCUCUGCACGAGAAAUGUUUAUGUUUAGUUGUAAAAUGUUGUUAGGUUUGGCCGAAGAAUGGCCAUUUACCUAUGUACAGAAAAAGUCUGGAUUCUUGGACAGUUUGCAUCUCAAGUUGCAUUUCUCAGAAUUCUCAGGUGGUUUCUAGUUUUGUUUUGAUGCUAAUGUUUUAGAUUAAAAGCUGUGAUGAUUGGAUUUUAUAAUAUAGAAAUGCUGACUGUAGCUUUUAAGUCUGUGCCUGUAUAACAAUCUUAGACCGAGUGUUUCUUGUAGUGUAACAUGGAAUGUUACGUAGUUUAUAGUUACAAAUAGUGUAAAUGUUGUACUCAAUUUUUUAUCUAAAAUUCACUGACAUUUAUUUCUGAUACCUCCACUAUUUUAACAGGCUUUUAGACGUUUAGUAUUGUUCUUGCAUGUUAUGUUCAUUUAAACCUGCAAUCAGAAUAUGUAUAAAAAUUGUUAGUGAUAUACAAUACCAGUUGUAACCUGGUAGUUACAGAGCAUGUCUAUACCAACUGAGAAUUUGGGAUUUAUUAAAAGUGAUGUUUAAAAUUGUCGUGUAAUCAUAAUUACCUCAUACAAAGCUGUCCAUGAAUGAUGGAGUACAUGUACACUAAAUUGUGAAAUUAGUUUGUUUAUCGUUGAAUGUUUAUUUAAUAUGUUUUAGAAAAACCAUAAAUCCAAUAACAAAACUGUUGGUUCACUAAAUCUUGAUGACAAGCUGACCAGAGUAGCCAAAUUUUUAUAAUGAUAAUGUAUAUCUUGCUACUAAUAAAAGUUACAAAAUUUUAAACUUCUUCAUCAGUUUAAUAGGACUGUUAUUUUAGCAUAUAUAAACUGUAGUAUCAAGCUUUUAUUCAGAAGUGUUUAAUUGGGGAAAAUUUAAUACCAGUUUUUUUUCUUGAAAUGAUAAGAAAUUGUAUGUAAAAAAGCUAUUAUUAUAAAGAGGAAUUAUUGGAGACAAUGUUUGAAACUGUAAAUAAACAUGUUUCCUUGAGUGACUCUAUGUUAUUGUCUUAUUAAAAUAAUAGGUUCAUUUGUAACAGGACUAUAACAUACUAUGCCCAUAUAAAACAGGAAUUGCACAACACAUGACACUGAGAAUGGGCUAUGCCUCAAAUCUGUAACAUCACCAAUUAGUAAAGAGCUGUGAGGAUCUAAAACUGGAUGUCAUACAGGUCUUUUUCUCAGAAAAGCUCAUUUUCUUCAGGGUUCUAAAACAAUAUGUUUGUUAAAAUAAAAGCCAUGUUUCAAGGAGUAAUGUUUGUACCAGGGUGAGGAGUUUAACAUUAUGUUUUCGGGAGUAAUUCUUGUAACUAGGUGAUGUGUUUCACAUUAGGUUUAAAGGAGUAACACUUGCAACAAGUCGACAUUAGGUUCUAGGAAGUAAGCUGUAACUAGGUGAUGUGUUUGACAUAAGGUUUUUAGGAGUGAAGCUUGAAACAAGGUAACGUGUUUGACAUUAGGUUUCGUGACGUUACUGAAAGUCAAUCCACUAUAAUAACCAGUGAAUGUUGCAUGCCCUGUGGUCAGUUGUUAAGUGAUGGCUCUGUGUAAAUCUUUAGAGUCUAUAAUAUGCCCAUUUCACCUGUAAGUCAAAUAAGGCAAGAUUCAGAUAAAAUUAUCAAAAGAACCAACAGAAAGAUAGGAACUUAUUUGAGACAAAAUGCCAAAGGGGUAAUCUUGUAAAAUACAGUUGCAUCAGAUGACCAAAAUAUUUGUAAAUGUUUGGCACAGAUCAAUUUAUGGGAUAACCACACAACACAAUUAUUAACUAUGUAUUGUCAGAAAGAAAAAUUAGGUAUGUCCAAUUUAAACUGUACUGCAACUAAGGAUAUGUUCAACAUAAACUGUACUGCAACUAAGGAUACGUCCAACUUAAACUGUACUGCAACUAAGGAUACGUCCAAUUUAAACUGUACUGCAACUAAGGAUACGUCCAAUUUAAACUGUACU